AGGGGUGAAAGGCCAAUCAAGCUCGGAGAUAGCUGGUUCUCCCCGAAAUAUAUUUGGGUAUAGCCUCAGGUAAUUGUCUCCAGGAGGUAGAGCACUGGAUGGGCUAGGGGCCUCACCAGGUUACCGAACCCAACCAAACUCCGAAUUCCUGCGAGAUCUAUCCUGGGAGUCAGUGGUCGGGCGAUAAUGUCCGUCUGCGAGAGGGAAAGACCCCAGACCGUCAGCUAAGGCCCCCAAAUCCGUGCUAAGUGAGAAAGGAUGUGGAUGUGCUCAGACAGCUAGGAGGUUGGCUUAGAAGCAGCAAUGCCUUUAAAGAGUGCGUAAUAGCUCACUAGUCAAGUGGAUCCGCGCCGAUAAUGGUCGGGACUCAAGCACGGUGCCGAAGCUACGGAUGGCGCAAGCCAUGGUAGGGGAGCAUUCCCUGGUCAGCGAAGCGGACUCGGAAGAGCAUCCGUGGAGAGCAGGGAAGAGAGUAUGCCGGAAUGAGUACGCGAUAAACAGAGUGAGAAUCUCUGUCACCGAAAGCCUAAGGGUUCCGGAGCCAGGCUUAUCCGCUCCGGGUUAGUCGGUCCCUAAGCCGAGGCCGAAGGGCGUAGGCGAUGGGAAACAGGUUAAUAUUCCUGUACCGUUCAGGUAGCGUUCGACCAUGAGGGGGGACGCGGAAGUGACAGGACCGUCGGGUGGUGGAAUAUCCGAUGUAAGGUGGUAGGCGAUGAGAGGGGAGAAAAGACCUCUUUAGCCGAGCGCCGAUGCCGAAGGGACAACAAGUCCUGCAAAGGGUCCGUAACCAUGCCGCCGAGAAAAGCCUCGCAUGGGAGGUGCCUGGGCGACCGUACCGUAAACGGACACACGUAGGCGAGGCGAGUAGCCUAAGGUGCUCGAGUGAUCCGCGGAGAAGGAACUCGGCAAAAUGUCCCCGUAACUUCGGGAGAAGGGGAGCCUGCAUUAGGUGAACCACGACGCGUGGGGAGCCGACCCAGGCCGCAGAGAAUCGGCCCAAGCGACUGUUUAUUAAAAACACAGGUGUCUGCAAAGUCGGUCAAGACGACGUAUAGGCACUGACGCCUGCCCGGUGCCGGAAGGUUAAAGGGAGGUGUUAGGGGCAACCCGAAGCUCCGAACUGAAGCCCCGGUAAACGGCGGCCGUAACUAUAACGGUCCUAAGGUAGCGAAAUUCCUUGUCGGGUAAGUUCCGACCUGCACGAAUGGCGUAACGACUUGGGCGCUGUCUCCUCCGCGAGCUCGGCGAAAUUGGAGUAUCGGUGAGGAUACCGAUUACCCGCGACAGGACAAAAAGACCCCGUGCACCUUUACUGCAGCCUGUCAUUGGGUCUUGGCUUUGCAUGUGUAGGAUAGGUGGGAGACUGUGAACCGUUCUCGCCAGGGGACGGGGAGUCGUUGGUGAAAUACCACCCUUACAAUGUUGAGGCUCUAACCCAGGGGAGUGAAUCCUCCUCGGGAACAGUGGCAGGUGGGUAGUUUGACUGGGGCGGUCGCCUCCCAAAGAGUAACGGAGGCGCGCAAAGGUUCCCUCAGCGCGGUCGGCAAUCGCGCGAAGAGUGCAAAGGCAUAAGGGAGCUUGACUGUGAGACCGACGGGUCGAGCAGGAACGAAAGUUGGCCUUAGUGAUCCGGCGGUUCCGAAUGGAAGGGCCGUCGCUCAACGGAUAAAAGGUACGCCGGGGAUAACAGGCUUAUCGCCCCCGAUAGUUCACAUAGACGGGGCGGUUUGGCACCUCGAUGUCGGCUCAUCGCAUCCUGGGGCCGGAGAAGGUCCCAAGGGUCGGGCUGUUCGCCCGUUAAAGCGGUACAUGAGCUGGGUUUAGAACGUCGUGAGACAGUUCGGUCUGUAUCCGUCGUGGGCGUUGGAGUAUUGAGGGGAGCUGCUCCUAGUACGAGAGGACCGGAGUGGACUGACCACUCGUGUACCGGCUGUUCCGCCAGGGGCAUCGCCGGGUAGCGACGUCGGGAAGGGAUAACCGCUGAAAGCAUCUAAGUGGGAAGCCCCCCCCAAGAUGAGUACUCCCGGGACCCCUCGGGGUCCGCGAAGGGCCGUGCGAGACUAGCACGUUGAUAGGCGGCAAGUGGAAGCGUGGUGACACGUGCAGCUGAGCCGUACUAAUGGCCCGAGAGGCUUGACCAG
rnacentral:rRNA from 1 species